rnacentral:rRNA from 1 species
UUAAAUUGAAGAGUUUGAUCAUGGCUCAGAUUGAACGCUGGCGGCAGGCCUAACACAUGCAAGUCGAGCGGUAGCACAGAGAGCUUGCUCUCGGGUGACGAGCGGCGGACGGGUGAGUAAUGUCUGGGAAACUGCCUGAUGGAGGGGGAUAACUACUGGAAACGGUAGCUAAUACCGCAUAACGUCGCAAGACCAAAGAGGGGGACCUUCGGGCCUCUUGCCAUCAGAUGUGCCCAGAUGGGAUUAGCUAGUAGGU